GGCAGUGAUGAGGGCUCAGUGGCAGCAAAACCAGAGCGCAGCAGCAACAGCCCAUCCAGCGUUACAGCAUUCAACACAGCAACGCAGCCAUAUGUUUCAAUAACAUUCCAAAAGUAUUUACACGAGCUGCAAAGAUCUCCUCCAUUGUCUUUCAUGGUGCCUAUGCCUCCUCCUUGCAACAAUAACUGCAGCCAUUUGUGUGUAAAGUUGUGCCAGUUUGCACCUGCCUUGCAAACAUACUAAAUAUAGAUGCAAAAAUAGCCAGUGCAAUCAGUUUCAUGUUUGGUAAAUCAGAUUGCGUGUGUUACCAUGAUCCAUUU